UACGGAGGGGGCUAGCGUUGUCCGAAGUUACUGGGCGUAAAGCGCGCGUAGGCGGGUUGGUAAGUCCGCUGUGAAAGCCCGGAGCUCAACUCCGGAGGGUCGGUGGAUACUGCCAGUCUUGAAGGUGCUAGGGGGAGAUGGAAUUACCGGUGUAGCGGUGAAAUGCGUAGAUAUCGGUAGGAACACCAGUGGCGAAGGCGGUCUCCUGGGGCAUUCUUGACGCUGAAGCGCGAAAGCUGGGGGAGCGAACGGG
rnacentral:rRNA from 1 species